rfam:Oryza sativa Indica Group scaffold004388 genomic scaffold, whole genome shotgun sequence.
UUCUAGCCCUGAUUGUAACGACAUCCUUUUGUGGUGGGGUUCACCACAAAAGAUAUAGUGAAAAGCAGGAAUCAGC